CAGUCGAGCGGACUUUCAAGAAGCUUGCUUUUUGAAAGUUAGCGGCGGACGGGUGAGUAACACGUGGGCAACCUGCCUGCAAGACGGGGAUAACUCCGGGAAACCGGGGCUAAUACCGGAUAAUAUCUUCCUUCGCAUGAAGGAAGGUUGAAAGGCGGCGCAAGCUGCCGCUUGCAGAUGGGCCCGCGGCGCAUUAGCUAGUUGGUGAGGUAACGGCUCACCAAGGCGACGAUGCGUAGCCGACCUGAGAGGGUGAUCGGCCACACUGGGACUGAGACACGGCCCAGACUCCUACGGGAGGCAGCAGUAGGGAAUCUUCCGCAAUGGACGAAAGUCUGACGGAGCAACGCCGCGUGAGCGAAGAAGGUCUUCGGAUCGUAAAGCUCUGUUGUCAGGGAAGAACAAGUACCGUUCAAACAGGGCGGUACCUUGACGGUACCUGACCAGAAAGCCACGGCUAACUACGUGCCAGCAGCCGCGGUAAUACGUAGGUGGCAAGCGUUGUCCGGAAUUAUUGGGCGUAAAGCGCGCGCAGGCGGUCUCUUAAGUCUGAUGUGAAAGCCCACGGCUCAACCGUGGAGGGUCAUUGGAAACUGGGAGACUUGAGUGCAGAAGAGGAGAGCGGAAUUCCACGUGUAGCGGUGAAAUGCGUAGAGAUGUGGAGGAACACCAGUGGCGAAGGCGGCUCUCUGGUCUGUAACUGACGCUGAGGCGCGAAAGCGUGGGGAGCGAACAGGAUUAGAUACCCUGGUAGUCCACGCCGUAAACGAUGAGUGCUAAGUGUUAGAGGGCUUCCACCCUUUAGUGCUGCAGCUAACGCAUU
rnacentral:rRNA from 1 species